CAGGAGCGAGCACCCUCAAUGGGGACAGGGCGCGCAGCACCAGGUGUCCCACAGUCACUGAGGGUAGUCAGCCCUCGCCUUGGAGCAGGGCACUGCCUCAGGGAGACCCAAACCCCUUCCUGGACUAAAGGAAUAAUAAACACAGGGGAUAUUUUUCCACCCUCCUUUCCCUACUUCUCUUUUUUAGGUAUCAGCCCAGUUCUUCAGGAAAUAUGAGGUAUCCCAUCUCUUUUGGGGAAGAAGCAUUUCCAUUUUAAAAGUGACCUUGUGCAGAUAGAGUUCUGCCCCUGCUUUUCUGUCAUCUGCCUUGGUCUGAAGCUCUUUUCUUGUUCCCUUCUCUGAAAAACAGACCAAGCAGACAAGGACAGAGAAGCACUUCCAUUGCCUGUGCGGGAGCAGGAGGCUGCCUGGUCUGGGUGCCGGGUAGAAGGUUGUGGGAAUAUGGCAUUGGGGAACUGAAACUACAGUCUUUGAAAGGGAAAAGACCACCUCUGCUGCUCCCUUUACACUGUUGACUUUGUUCGCUUUGCAUAAAUGGUUACCGGGCUGGUGUGUGGUGGGUAAAAAAACAUCUUUUGGCCAUUUGAGAUGGGGAAACUCAUCCCAUGUUAAAAUGGAAUUGUGAGAGGGCUUGAGAUACAUCUUAUAGGGAUGGUCCUGUGGGGACCUGAGUGGUGCUCAGGACCCCUGAUGUAACUGAGACACAUGAAGAUUCACAUCUGUUAGUACUUGAAUGAAUGUUAAUUAAAGCAUUUUAAUAAGGAUGUUUUGAGAACUGAAUGUUAGUCAGUGUGUGCCCUCCAUGAAAUAUUUAAUAUCUCAGCCCUUUCAGCAGCGUACUCCUCCCCAGAAGGUCUUCCUGCAAAUGGAGUUUGACACUACUGAUAAUUUUAGAGCUAAAGAAACCUAGAGCAAUAGACUUAUACAAAAAUCAUAAUGUGAUCUUUGAUGUUGCAGUCAAGGGAACACAUGCCAGAAAAUGGUUUGCUCUCUUCAGUUCAUCCUCUCUUUGUGUUUGUUGUUAUUUUCCCAUCAGGCACAACAACAAGCAGCUGAUUAACUCGUUAGCUGAAAGCAUCAAAGGGCGAGGCGAGAGCAUGAAAUCUGCUCCUGUGUUCCUCAGCUGCUCCUUGCAGCUUGGCAGUUUCUGCAGGGCCCAUCUGAGGUUUAGGUUCAGUGAAGGCCACAGUUUGUACCUGAGCAGUGCUCAGCUACAUGCAGCCACUUUCAAUUGAAGGCUACUGAAGGUUUCUCCCCUAACUGGUGUGCUCCUUCACAGUGUUGCCUUGAAAAGAUCAGCAAUACCCCAGAUCAAGCUAGUGGAGGGUAAGUUGAUCUGCCUGUCAUCCGUAUACACCUACAGCCUUUCAGAAGCAAAGGAUUAGCAAAUAGUUUUUUGCACACGCGGUAAAAUCUUGCAGAUCCAAGUAUCUGUCUAAGCAAUCCCUGCAGUUGUGGCACAAGAGCACAGCAAGCGCAUGAACUCCCAGCAGACACCUCAGAGAUCACCGGCAGAUGAUCAGGUACGUAGCAUGACUCUUGCCUUCCACCUCCUCUGACUCCUACUCCAAGGUCAUGGUCUCCUGUCCUCUCUCCUCUUCACCUCCAACAUAUACCUCCAUUUACACUCCAUCAGCUUCUGCCUUCACCUUGCUUGUACCCCUUGUUCCAGUGCCUUGGCCCCAGAUGUGUGAAGCCAGGCAGGUCCAAGCUGGCUCUGCCCAGGACCUCAGCAUGCUCUGCCAAAGCUUCUUAUUUUGGCUUUUGCAGCCUUCUAAAACUUCCACCACCCAUUAGGCAUUAAGUGUUCGCUCCAUCCACAACAGCUGCGGUUCUCCUGGCUUCCUUGAACACCACUAACAGCAAUUGCUGCAGCCCAGUGAGGCUUAAAUGCAACCCAACACCAUCUUGGAGCUAUGCACACAGGAACCUUCUGAGCUUAUGAACAGUCGGUAUUUAUUGGCACUGCUGGGUUCAGGUCCAUUAUGCAUGGCACUGUCACAAGGGGAAAAGACCAGAUUUUGCACCUGCAGAGCUAAAAGGAGUCACUGAUUGGCUCAUUGAUUUUCUCCUAGAGCAAAAGCCUUUGCAAGGAGGUUGCUCGCACAGGCAGCACAGGGGAUCAAAGCUGUUCCUGGAGAUAUCAUCAAAAAGGCUGGGAGCUGCCACGGUGCUUCUGAGAAAUUGAUAUCCAACAGCAAGCCAGGAGCAGUUCGAGACAGCAGAUACAUGUUUAAAUAAUGUCUUUAUUCCAGUUCAGCUGAAAAAAUAAUUAUUGAAUUUGGGUCUUAAGCCAAGAAGUACCUUUGUUUCUGAGUGCUCAUUGAUUAAAACAUCUUGUGCUUUCAGCUGGUCUAAUAAAGACACUACAUUACCCUUCACGAAGAGUAUUAAAAGAAUACCUUUAUUCAGGAGAAGAGAGGAAUUUAGAGAGUGACCUCAAUGUUUCUUGAGAUCUGAAAAGUUUCACCCAGCCUAGAGAACUCCUACUUCUAAAUUCAGGGAUUUCUGCUGGAACAGGAAGUUUCUCUCAAAUUGUUAUCCAGCAAAAUGAGCUCUGGAUUAUAUUUAGCUCCAUUCAUUCAGCACAAUGAAAAGUAAGACUCCAGCCAAUUUCCUUAAGCAAGUUUAUUAAUAAGCACUAGUUGUUUGGUGGCUGGUCAUUUCUAUGUGGCUGGAGAAGGUGAUACAUCCAGCACAGCCUCCCUCCCUCAUCUGAACUAGGAUCCCGGUGGAUUUUAUCACUUUAAGCACUUUAUAACCUUUACUGGUUACCUGUGCAAGCACACCAGCCUAAAAAUUGUCUCAGGUGCAGCUUCCAACCCUGCCCUGGCCAUUCAUGCUUGCUGGCCCAUGGAGCUGCAAAGAAAUCACCAAGGGCAGUUGAGCAGCUUUUAAGCCAGAGGUAAAUAAUCUUUCAGGGACUCCCAACUACAGGUUCGAGGCAGCUUUGUGUAAAGCUAUUAACACUGCAGCUGCUGAUCUGGAGGGAGCCAGAGUCACUGCAGAUACUGCAAUAACAGCGAAGGCUCCCCCAGUGUAUAGAAGCACAUGUUGAAGCCACACGCAAGUCAGGAGCCUUAGGUCAGUGAGGCUGGUUAUAGCCUGGCUGUAAUUCUUGGCUUCAUCCAUCACUUUAUGUGUAUCUAAAGACAAAUCACUUGGGGGUUGGCCUCUGCUGAGGGCUAGAAAACAGACUUAAGGUGGUUUUACGCAUGACAAACUUCAUGACCCAUAACUUUUCAUUUAUUUUGCUGGUUGCCACUUGGCAUCAAUUAUCUGUGGCAUGUUUAGGAUGUGCGGAGCUCAAAAUACCUCCUGCCUGUGCCCAUCUAAUUCAGACUAUAUGACUUGAAUUUGGGCUUGCCCUAUAGAAGUGCGCUCUGUACCACCUGCCUCUAUUUGUAGUCAUCAAGGGGAGAUGUCUAGAGCUGACUGUCUCUGGAACACUUUAGGUCUCAAGCAAAAAUCAAACAAUAUGAUGUCUUAGCUUUGAUUGGACAGCAAAAGCUACUUGCUUUCCUCCAACUGAGAGUGAUGGUGGGGAAGGGAGUGGAGGUCGUCCCCUCUGUGGUUCUGCAAAAACAAGGUAUAGCAAUAUGUGGCUGUCCUCUCCCCAUCUAGAAGCCAUGGUAGGAUGCCUUCACAGGCACAAGGGAAGAGAGGACCUGUGGUAACCACAAAACGUCACAAGUGAGAGUCAAAUGCAGAAGAAGGAGUAAUGUUAGUCUAAUUUCUCCAAGAAAAACUGUAGAUGUCCAUGCACAAGAAGGAAAAAUCAUCUGGCCUUCUGGAAACCAAACACCAGUCCUGGGAAUGUGGUGGCCAGUAUGGUCAUAGGUCCUUUACUGGAACGGCUGGAGCAGUUGUUCCCUCAGUGCUCACCUUGCCUUCCUUGGUACCCAUCACAGCGGCAGUCACAGCACUCGACUUCCCAAAGCUCAGCAGUUUGCACCUUUCAGCCUAUAAAUUCAGGCACAGCUACGAGGCACGUGUUUCAGCCACAUCUGGAAGACCUCAGCCAAAAGGGCUGAAAACAAACUUAUCUUUUAUAAGGACAGCUGAGGCUGUGUGCCUUAGAACAUGGCAUCUUCAGAACAGACACAAAGGAGGUACGUAAGACCACCUGAGCCAGCCAAACACAUUAUAAAAGCAAAUUAUAAAAGUAAUUAAAUAUUAAGCCACAGAAUUUCUUCAAAUUUUAGCAGUUUUUAUGUGUGUGCAUGAUUGGCACUGCUGUUACUCCUGCCAAGCACACAAUUAGCACUUGAGUUAAUAAGAUGUUUUAAUGACUGUCAAAUUAAUCAACAUCUCUGACACUGCUUUCCAGUGUUUUCCAUGGGAAAGACAUUCUUUCAUCUCAGUUCUUAUGUUAUCAUUGUCACCAAUUAUUUGUGUUUAUUCUCUUUACUAUGCUUAUUUGAUUUCAUUCUAAAUUAGAUGCAGCGAUAGGGGAUGUAAUUUGGUAUUUUUCUCUAAUGUGCUGAAUAGAUGAGGAUUAGGGCUCCACAGCUAUGAGAAAAUGAGCCCUCAUAAGCAUUUGUUCAAACAGAAAUCACAGAGCCUUUUUGAGGACUGCCAUGCUCCCUUUGAUUUGCUCUUCAUCAGUGCUUUUGUGAGCUUGUUCACAGAAAGCUUUGCCAAAAUGAGAGUAUUGCUAAGAGAGAUGAAAACAUGUAGUAGCCCAGGAAUACCUGUGAGAAUAUUUGGGCUGACCUGUACCACAGCUUUUUCUUUCUGGUGGUCUGAUAGUGAUCCAGGCAGGAAACCCCCAAUAUUUUCAGGAUUAGCUCAUCAGUCACUCAAACCAGCUAGUGUGCUAUAGAUAGAAGGCAAACAUCAAGUAAAAGCAAUAUGCAGUAUACCCCAAAAAACAGAGAUUUAGAAUUGUUUCAUCCUGAAAAAUUACAAGAAUGAAGAAAACACAUGAUCUGUGGGCAGUUCGCAGCUCUGCCCCAUUUGGGGCAGUGUGAUGGUCUCCCACCCAGGCUGGGAGCGGCGUUGGUGUGUGAUCGGAUUGUUGUAGGUCUCGGUCUGAGAUAUCUCCCUAGGUUUGUUCAAACUGAUGCUUCUGCGGUGAGUGGAAUAGCCUGGGGCUGGAGCUGUGCUGAGAGAAAUGAAAGGCUUUCAUAAAAUUAUGUCAUGUGCUGAAUGUGCCAGCCUGUCAUGUAAUAAUAGCUAAAACUUUCUGUAAUUAAAACAAGUAGCUAGUUAUGGUGUCUGACUAUGAUCAAAGCUCUUUUGUCUGCUUUGACAGUUGGCACAUGUGAAAGAUUUUGGCUUACAUGGAAAACACUAGUGUGGUUUUUCUCUUGAUUUUAAAUGGCAAGAAACAUACAUCUCAGCUUAUCCCUAAACUGAAAGAGAACAGUACCAGGAAAAUAAGAACAAGAAUGUGCAUGAUGUAAAAUAUCUACAGUGUCUGGUAGCAGCAGCUCCUCUAUGCAGCCACUGUGCCUUCGGAGGGGUUGACCCAUUGCUGCAACACAGUGUCAUUUUAUAUUUCUGCAGAGAUGGGAUUAAAGCUCUUGAGAACAUUCCUAAAUGUCCUGCAUUGCCAUUUUAAAAUAAGAAAAGCUUUUGCGUAACAAAUAUUAUUCUGAAUCGUGACAAAUCAAUUGUCUCCUGUCAGAGGGUUAUUUUCCAUUACUUGGAUUGCAAUUGUUGAGAUAUUUUAUGGAUAAAAGCUACCUUUCU